CCGUGCAGCCGGGGAGUCAGCGGUGCCCUGUACCUGCAAUCCGCUAUAGCAGGGGUGUUGUCUUGCCUAGGGUUUUUUAAGGAGAAGCUGCCCUUUAUAAGUGAUGUUGACGUUUGGGUCUUACGCAACAGGAAUUUGUGAAUCGUGUCAGGUCAGGAAUGAAGCAGCACUAAGCAAAACCUUCUGUGUGCCGUAAGGCAGCCUGGGCUGAGUUAACUGUAGAGGUAACGUUCUCGGAGAAAAAAACAAAGCAAGGCGCACGG
rnacentral:SRP_RNA from 1 species